UGAGCAAUCUGCCCUUCACAUCGGAAUAACCAUUGGAAACGAUGGCUAAUACCGAAUAUGACUUCGGAUCGCAUGAUCUGAAGUGGAAAGCUCCGGCGGUGAAGGAUGAGCUCGCGGCCUAUCAGCUUGUUGGUGAGGUAAUAGCUCACCAAGGCGACGACGGGUAGCCGGCCUGAGAGGGUGACCGGCCACACUGGGACUGAGACACGGCCCAGACUCCG
rnacentral:rRNA from 1 species